rnacentral:rRNA from 1 species
CAGUCGCCGCGGUAAUACGUAGGUGGCAAGCGUUGUCCGGAAUGAUUGGGCGUAAAGCGCGCGCAGGCGGAUAGGUCAGUCUGUCUUAAAAGUUCGGGGCUUAACCCCGUGAUGGGAUGGAAACUGCCAAUCUAGAGUAUCGGAGAGGAAAGUGGAAUUCCUAGUGUAGCGGUGAAAUGCGUAGAUAUUAGGAAGAACACCAGUGGCGAAGGCGACUUUCUGGACGAAAACUGACGCUGAGGCGCGAAAGCCAGGGGAGCGAACGGGAUUAGAUACCCCAGUAGUCCCUGUCUCUUAUACA